GGCACGCCUUCUCCAGCAACUGAACUUUAACUCAUCGCAGCAUGGGUUCAAGCAUUAGCGAUGCCCAGGAUUUAGUUACACAUCUGCUAGCAGUAGUGAAAAGCCACUUCAGCUUUUCAUUUGGAUAAGGAACUUGAUGGAAUGCACCUGGAGCAUGCUGGGGCCGUGCUGCUAGGGCUACAAAGACAUGGGGCUGCCUCACCUCUGCUGCAGGAAGACAAUGGAUAAGGGAUGAAGAAUAAAGGUAAACCAGAGGAGAUUUUUUAUUAGUUAUUAUGGUGCAUGCAUUAAGACAUGCUCUUGUAGUAAAACAGCACACUCUCUGUUUUACAUUAUCUGAAUCAUAGAAUCACAGAAUCAUAGAAAAACUCUGGAAAAUCUAUUGGAAAAACCAAUAAGUCUAGUCCUACCAUCCCUACCAGGCCUAUGACCAGUCUAGACUAUGUAACUCAUUGCCACAUCUACCCAUUCCUUGAACACCUCCACGGACUCCACCACGUUCCUGGGCAGCCUGUUCCAACGCCUCACCACUCCU